rnacentral:rRNA from 1 species
UACGAAGGGGGCUAGCGUUGUUCGGAAUCACUGGGCGUAAAGAGCACGUAGGCGGAUCUUUAAGUCAGGGGUGAAAUCCCGAGGCUCAACCUCGGAACUGCCUUUGAUACUGGGGAUCUCGAGUCCGGGAGAGGUGAGUGGAACUGCGAGUGUAGAGGUGAAAUUCGUAGAUAUUCGCAAGAACACCAGUGGCGAAGGCGGCUCACUGGCCCGGAACUGACGCUGAGGCGCGAAAGCUAGGGUAGCAAACGGG